ensembl:processed_transcript predicted gene, 28052
GAUGGCGCCCCCAGGAGCUGGGAGCGGGUGACCGGCGGCGGGGAAGCGGCCUGGGCUGGCCCUCAGAUUGCGGGGUCCCGGGGGCCUGUCGCGGGGCCCCCCCCGUGACCCACCGACCAGGCCUUCCCCCGGGCCGGAGCGAUGGCCGCCGAGAACAGCAAGCAGUUCUGGAAGAGGAGCGCCAAGCUGCCGGGGAGUAACAAUGAAGAGGAGAACUGACCCAGAAUGCACUGCCCCCCUCAAGAAACAGAAGCGAAUUGGGGAGCUUGCCCGGCACCUCAGCUCCACAUCUGAUGAUGAACCUCUCUCCUCUGUCAAUCAUGCAGCAAAAGCAUCUGCUACAAGCCUCAGUGGAUCUGACAGUGAGACCGAGGGGAAGCA